AGUAGUUAAAUUAAUAUUAGUUUGUCAAAUUAAAGAUGAAAAAUAUACCU
rnacentral:tRNA from 1 species